rnacentral:tRNA from 1 species
GCUCAGUUGGUAGAGCAUGGUAGAGCAUGGUGUUUGCAACACCAGGGUUGUGGGUUCGAUUCCCAC